AUAAAUAAAAUAAAAUAAAUUUAUUUAUUUUCCAGGAGUUGGUUGGUUAAUUUAUUGAAGAGCAAGAUAAUAAACGAAGAAAUAAUAGAGUGAGAAAUCAGAUAUAAUAUGUAGACAGGAAUGAUUAUUAUCAUAUGAAGAAUAAUUUGUCUUGAUGUGUUGAAACACACUUGAACAAUUCAAUAUGUCUUUUAAUCUAUUAAUCUGGUAUUCGUAUCUUAGGGUAAUGGGGAAUGCGGUGUCUUGAGAUUCAAGCUCUUAUAAGAGGCAAGCAUCUCCCAUCGAAUCAGACCUCAAGAUAAAGAAUAAGAGAAGAAUUGGCCAGAGCUGCCCAGAUACUGAGUAGAGUUGGCAUUCGGCAUACGAAGGACUAGCAUAUCCGAGGAAGAAACACGGCGGGAGAGGCGGUGAGAAACAACCAAAGGUAGAGAAGAUAUCGUGCCGGUUAGUGCCCCGCCCCGGCUUCAGGGUCGUCUUAAUUACCGGGUGGUCCAGUUCGGAACCCCAUAAAUAUUUGGUUGCCUUGGCGGCACUCUUUCCUUCGAGUCGAGACCCCAGGACUCCUGGGAGACCACGAGAUUUCUUCUUCUUCUUUAUAUUCUUCUUCUUCUUCUUCUUCUCGAAGUUUCCUCUCGAGAACAAGUGGGCCCAAGAGAGAGAGAGAGAGAGAGAGAAAGAGAGAAAGUCAAUAAGAAGAGGAGUAUAUAAAAUGAGAGAGUAAAUAUAAAGAUGUACAGUAAACUCGAUAAUUCGAUGCUCGUGUAGGCUUUUUCACAGACCAAGACUCUUCUCUUGUAUAUAAUUCCAUCAGAUUGAGGCCUCUUUGUAUUUAGAGUUACACCGCUCUGCCUCCUGACGAAUAACCGGAUGACCGUCCAACUCUUUUAAGUAACAUUCUACUCAGUUAUGUUAGGGAGCCAGAAAGUCUACCGAAGGUAGUCAUUUAGAUGAAUCGUCGGUUUGGUCAAUGUGGGAAAGAGACAAGUGAGGAUGAGGUUAUGCUCAAGUGGAAGAGGAUAUCUUAUAUUGUCUCUACGUGCAGAUAAGGACAGCGGCUUGUCAAGAGCUGCCCACAAAAACGUAAACGUUAAACAAAAUAAUUUAUUGAUUUUAAUCUACUCAUUUUCGGCGUUAUCAAAAGAGAAUAAAUUUGUGCCGUACCACCAGAAGAGGAUUAGUCAUUUUUUGAAUCAUCGGGCAGGUAUAUGGAGAGAUAACAAGGAUGCUCAUCCUAAAACUCAACAUCCUAUCCACGUCACCCAGAUUUACAAAUUGACCGGCCUCCUACGCCAACUAUGCGCAUAGCGCUCUGCAUAUUCGACAGAAUGUUUAAUGCUUUCGGCGUGACUCAUCCGCCGGGACAUCUCUAUUAUCUGGUCAUCUGAGCAUGGGAUAUUGUGGAAGUAUGGAAUCCAUUAGCAAGUGCACGUGAUAUCUUGUGAAGUACAGAAUUGGUGAAUUAUAAUUUCAGGCUUUUACGGUCCGCCCACAUACGAAGCCUAAAACAAUGGCCAUUACUACCAAUUUUCGAUGAGCUGUCAUCAACCACCCACGGGUAUACGACGAGGGAGCUAGGGCACUAUCAUUUGUGUGGUCUGCCAGCCGGAUUUGUGUUGAACCUCUGUUUCGAUUUCGCCAAAGUCUGAAAAUGUGCUCGACAGAGAGGAGAAUAGUUGAGGGCAUAAGAGCAAAAAAUCUAUGUAUAUGUAUAAUAUAAUACUAAGUGAGUGAGAUUGACGACUAAAAGAAGAAAGAGACCACCUUCGUAGAAGCCACUUACUCUCGCGAGAACAGAGAGAACAUUAUUUAUUCUAUCUCACUUGGUUUUAUAUUUCGAAAUUCUCUCUACUCCUCGGACGAAGUUAACUCUAUACACUCAUCGGUAUACCGCGGAUUAUCUUGUGUAUUAUUAUGUUUGUAUUAUAGUUCGAGUAAAGAGAGAGUGGAGUCAUGUGAUAACAAGAGAUGUUAAUUCCCACCAAGCCUUGCUGAUCAGAGAACUCUCAAGUACGCUCCCGAGUUUCCAGGCACCUGAUGGCUCAUUAUGCAAGUUAUAAUUAUGUAAUCAUUCUUUUAUUGUGCAGAAGUAUAUUUUUAUGAGUAGUCCUUCUGGAAUGAUGCACUGGUUUGGUUUUAACUGGUGAUUUAUUACGAUCUGGUUCAAACUUGUCAGCUAUUUUUCAUUUUAUCUUUAGAGAGUAAUUAUCCACAACUGGAUUAUACUGUAAUACGUAAGCUUCUGAGAAGAGAAUAAUUUAAAAUAUUCAAUAAAAACCAUAAAACCAGCUGGUAUUGUAUAUAUAAUGGGAGAUGGGAGUAUAUACGUGGGUAAUAAAUACAGCGAUAUAUCUAACCAGUAUAAGUACGGGCACCCUCACCUGUUCUCAUCUGCAGCUGCAUUUGAUGACCGAUAUCUUCUUGACAAAUUAUUAUCAUCUCCCGGAAACUCGUUUCUUCUCAAUUAAACGUGACGAUGAGAGUUUUAUUCCCGAUCCUCGAGUUUUAUUUUUAAUUCCCGUGAGUAUGUAAUGCUAAUUCAUUUUAUAAUUAUAUACUUAUUAAUCAAGUAGGGAGCCAGAUGAAGAAUGAUGAUGAUGAUACUCGUAUACUUAUGCUGACAUUCGAUAGAAGCCGAUACGAGGUAAACAAGUAUUCUCUACAGUCCAGAGAGUACUUUCGGUACGCGGCAGACAGCGCGUCGCCCAAUCUCCUGACUUGUUCAUAUUCUCACUACUUCUUGUGUAUUAGAGCUCGAGAUAUAAUACCAGUUACAUCAACUCCCGUCGAUUCAAUUGUACCAAUGUAUUAUUAUGUUAAUGCCUUUUUAUUUAAUUUAUCGCGUUACAGCAUCUAGAAUUGAAUUCUUGGAAAUAG